rnacentral:ncRNA from 1 species
CCAGCUGGACGACCUGCUGGUUGUAUCGAAUGGGGACGGCCUC